AGAAUCCAAUUGGAUGCUGGGUUGCAGGGUGGUUAGAGCUAUAGGCAGUGAGCUGAGGCAGGAAUCAGAUGGCUUUACCCAUGGAGAUUUUUGUUGCUGGCUAAUUUGCUACAUAUUCUUAGAACUGGUUUGAUUAAGAAAAAAAGCUGUUGGUGUGGUGACUGGAAGUCUAACAACAAUCACCACAAUAGAUAUCUGCAGCCCUGAAACCAAUUUUCAGGCUUGAAUUUCUUUUACUUUUCUUCUUUCUUUCUUAUUGUGUGUCUCCAAGUCCUGAGUCUACUGGGGUUAUGUAGAAAAAAAGUUUUAAACAUUUUUUUGGGAAAUAAUUGCAAAGUUACAGCUAAAUUAUAAGAAAAAAAGAAGAGUUCUACACUUUGGGAGGCCGAGGCGGGUGGAUCAUGAGGUCAGGAGAUCGAGACCAUCCUGGCUAACAAGAUCUUACCUAUGUUCAAACUUUGAAGGGUAUUUUUAGAUCUAAGAGAUCUGGGUCUUUAAAGUCAGUCUUGGCCAGAAUCAGGCUGCAAAUGCCAAAGCAAGAGAUGUCAGCAAUGAGUUGCAGGUCUUUGCCAAACAGAGCAUCAUCUGGCAGUGAAAGGAGAGCAGAAGAGGGGAUUUUGAAGUCUUCCUGCACACUUCCGACAACUUGAUUGAACUGGACGCCCUUGGAAGUUCAUGGCAUCGCCUAUAACAGAGUCUGUGUAGGCAAAACCCCAGCCUAUGCUGGAAUUUAACUCUUAAAAAGCAACCUAAGUAGAACACAAGAUUGUAAACUCUAAGGAGAUUCUAACACCAAAAGAAAGUAUGACUUGAGCCAAUGAAAUGCCAAAAUCCAGUUCUAGCUGACAACGUCAGUAGUGGAGGACAGACUUCCACUUGCCAUUUGAGGAAAAAGCAUGUGGAUUCAUGAGCAUAACAGCAGAUACCCCACUACCAAUUACCAAAUCCUGUGCACAUUCCUGUUCUCCAGUCACCUUUUCUCCAUAAAUGUUUGUGGUAUAAAAUGAAAACCUUCCCAAAUAUUAACCAGUCAACCUUUAUUCUCUGAUUUCUUUCUCUAAACUAGUGAUGCCUUCAUUUUCAGUGUCACUGACUUGCACCUAACAGUUCCCAGCUUAUGUUGUAGGUGCUAUCUCAUCUUAAACUGAUCCUGUUCUCGAGUUUCCAGAGCGAGUACAGCCCUGCCACCUCUGGAGUUCAGCCCAGUGAAAGUGCUUUCAGACUUCUGACCUCCAGAACUGUGGACCGACCAUGGACUGAUGGAAAAAGGAACCACGAGGAGCUCCAACAAUGGGAAUGUGGUUGCCUCUUCCUAGUGCAACACCUGGGUUCUGGAGUGGUGCAUGCCAGGUAUUUGGCAUGAAGGUGGAACAAGCAAGGAUGGUGCUGGUGUUUGUAGCCACAACCAAUGUGGUGUGAGCAGGGCCUGUUGCUGGCAGCUCUGAGUGGACAAGAGUUCCAUGACAGAAGAGCUGAAGGCUUCUUGUCCUGCAUCUUCUUCCCCGACAUCAGCAAGCUUGGAGAGCUGGGUGGGUGGUCUUCAUCCAGCACCUUCCUGGCCGCCUUCUCUGGCUGCAGGGAGCAGCCCGGGGCCGGGGCCGGGGCCGGGGCCAGGAGCACUGCUGGAGCCGGGUCAGGCUUCCCAAGGGGAAGGCCACCUCCAGCAGGGCUGUGUGAGCUGGGGGCCUCAUGGCCCUCCCAGAAGGAGCCACUCACUGGAGACACCUGGGCCUUCUCUCUCAAAUGGUUUUCCAACAGGUAGGGGUGGGCAUUUCCCUGCAGAGGCCCGGGCCUGCACCCGAAGGAGGUGAGGUCUCCCUGGGUCUCCAGGGCCCUAGACGUGGAUGAAGUCCUGCCGUGGCUACGGGGGCUCUUUUCUUGUCAUCCUGCUCCUGGGUCUCUACGUGAUGCUCCUGCGUCACUGUUCUGGGCUCCUCUUCGGCCCUACCCUCAGUCUCCUUCGGGAGCCUGGCUGGGACCUGCUUAGGUGGUGAAGGCAGCGGGAGGGCGAACUUGCGGACGGGAGGAGGGUCCUCAGGGACCCUGGGUGCAGCAACCUUCGGGAGUUCCCAACAGGUGGCUCAGAGGCCACAGCCUGCAGGAACUCCAGAGGGUCACCCUUGUCAUGUGGGAGAGGACAAGGGGUGCCACACAAGCUGCCUGGAGAGGAGGGCCUAGGAGGCCGCCGCGGGUUGAACAGGAAUAAGAAAGGGCCUGGCUGUCCUGGGCAGGCGCAGAGGCCUUUAGGGCAAGGGGCGGCCGCUGGCCCGAGAGCCUGCAGGCAGACCAGAGAAGAAACGUGUGAAGUAAAUUGCCCAUCUCCACCGAGGGACAGAAGCAAGGCAAUGAACCUCCAUCCGGCUACAGGAAAGAAUGAGAAAACACCAUGUCUCCACGAUAAGGAGGCACACAGGCCAGAGCGUGAGCUGUGGAAUCACACAGCCCGGGUUCACAGCCUGGCUGGGCCACUGCCACCUGAAUGACCUGGAGAAGAGUCUCAGGCCCAAAUGUUGUUUUAGCAAUAUCCAGUACAAAACGAAGGAGUGUUUUAGCAAAUUUGUAAAAGGAAGUGAGCACAACUCGCUCGAGAUGGGCAAUUUACAUGUAUUUUCUCUGGGUACUUUGCACGGUGGCAUAUGUGUAAUAAGCACAUGCACUCCUAGGAUGAGGCCUUUACCUCAACUCAUAAGUUGACCAUGGCCCACAGUGGGCUCCAGUCCUCUAAGAAAAUGUAGGGCAGGGACCAGCAAUUGUCCCACAGGGUCAUGCCACAUUUCUCUUCUAAUGGAGCCUUGCAGCUCAGAUGAUCUUUUUGAUCCUGUGUGAGGUAUCUAAGUAUAUAAAGAUUAUGUUCUAGACCCAUUAUGGUCUAUCCUGAAAGAAAUUCACCAGCAGUUUAUUUAUUAUGGAUAAGAAUCCAUGUUCUCCAAUGAGAACACUUGGACACAGGGUGGGGAACGUCAGAGGGUGGGGAACGUCACAUGCCAGAGCCUGUCGGGGGCUGCGGGGCUGGGGGAGGGAUAGCAUUAAGUAUCAGGGAACCUGCCCCAAUAGUCACAAAGGUUCUUUUCUAUUUUCCCUAAGCAUCAGCCGGUUUGAGAAAUAAGUACAAAAGAGAGAAAUUUUAAAGCU